CGGGUGAGUAACGCGUAUGCAACUUGCCUAUCAGAGGGGGAUAACCCGGCGAAAGUCGGACUAAUACCGCAUGAAGCAGGGAUCCCGCAUGGGAAUAUUUGCUAAAGAUUCAUCGCUGAUAGAUAGGCAUGCGUUCCAUUAGAUAGUAGGCGGGGUAACGGCCCACCUAGUCUUCGAUGGAUAGGGGUUCUGAGAGGAAGGUCCCCCACAUUGGAACUGAGACACGGUCCAA
rnacentral:rRNA from 1 species